rnacentral:rRNA from 1 species
GACGAACGCUGGCGGCGUGCCUAAUACAUGCAAGUCGAGCGGACUAACGGGAGCUUGCUCCCGUUAGUUAGCGGCGGACGGGUGAGUAACACGUGGGCAACCUACCUGUAAGACUGGGAUAACUUCGGGAAACCGGAGCUAAUACCGGAUGACAUAAAGGAACUCCUGUUCCUUUAUUGAAAGAUGGCCUCGGCUAUCACUUACAGAUGGGCCCGCGGCGCAUUAGCUAGUUGGUGAGGUAACGGCUCACCAAGGCGACGAUGCGUAGCCGACCUGAGAGGGUGAUCGGCCACACUGGGACUGAGACACGGCCCAGACUCCUACGGGAGGCAGCAGUAGGGAAUCUUCCGCAAUGGACGAAAGUCUGACGGAGCAACGCCGCGUGAGCGAUGAAGGCCUUCGGGUCGUAAAGCUCUGUUGUUAGGGAAGAAUAAGUGCUAGUUGAAUAAGCUGGCACCUUGACGGUACCUAACCAGAAAGCCACGGCUAACUACGUGCCAGCAGCCGCGGUAAAAC